rnacentral:rRNA from 1 species
AGCGAACGCUGGCGGCAGGCCUAACACAUGCAAGUCGAGCGCCCCGCAAGGGGAGCGGCAGACGGGAGAGUAACACGUGGGAACGUACCCUUCAGUUCGGAACAACCCAGGGAAACUUGGGCUAAUACCGGAUACGUCCGAAAGGAGAAAGAUUUAUCGCUGAGGGAUCGGCCCGCGUCUGAUUAGCUAGUUGGUGGGGUAACGGCCCACCAAGGCGACGAUCAGUAGCUGGUCUGAGAGGACGAUCAGCCUCACUGGGACUGAGACACGGCCCAGACUCCUACGGGAGGCAGCAGUGGGGAAUAUUGGACAAUGGGCGCAAGCCUGAUCCAGCCAUGCCGCGUGGGUGAUGAAGGCCCUAGGGUUGUAAAGCCCUUUCGGCGGGGAAGAUUAUGACGGUACCCGCAGAAGAAGCCCCGGCUAACUUCGUGCCAGCCGCCGCCGUAAGAC